GGGUAUGCUAUAGCCGGGCACUUGGAAUAACUGUAAAUUAAAAAAGGAGGGGAGAGAGAAAUAGAUGAGUAUCCAAUUGGACCAAAAUGGAAACCCACCUAACCAGCCAGGCACCAACACAUUUGCUCCCCACCCUACAAAAAAUAUCAAGCAAGAAGAUAAACAUACGCAUACACACACAUGCACAUCGUGCGCUGGCAGCACAAGUUCAAGGUAUAGUAAUAAGAAGGUAAGGAUUUUCACUAGAGCGUAAACAAAUGUUCGCAUGGGUUUCAGAAGUAUAGCGGAACUGCCCCACCUUAUAUUUAAUAUACUUUGCGCAAGUAAUUUUGUUGCUGUUUUCAUUUCAUGUUAUUUCAUUUUCUUUCUUCUUCAUUUUGUUAUUCUUUUGCUUUUUGUGUUUUGUUUUGACUCUGCCAACGUCGAGAGUGCAGAGGCGUACAACCUGAAAUCACUAAAAACGGGGUUUGUUUCGAAGCGGAGCUAAGGGUUUUAUGCUGUUGUUGCAACAUUUGCCUGAUAGCCAGAUUCAUAUUGGAUAUUGUUUCAUACAUUUUUUUUGUUACCCCUGUGCCGCUGUCCCUGUAUUUCUUUAUGUGCGGUUGACGGUGGAAGAGCGCGACGUGUGGGGACAGUGGAACAGAGGUAGGCAGAGAGGUGAAAAGGAGUCAAAGUGAAAAGUAAGCAGGCCAGCGCAGGCAGUGCGCAAGCAAAAUGUAAAAAUAAUAUUUUUUCAAGUUGUCGGCUUGAACAACUUUUUUUGUGUCUAAAAAUAAAUAUGUUCGGCAAUAGUUUUUUGGGGUCGCAUAUGUGUAUGUAUGUAUGUAUGCAUGUGUGGUAUGUACAUACAUACAUAUGUGUGCGAGCGAUCAAAACUUUUGGCUUUGGAUGAGAGACGCAGGCGGAAAGCAAUGCGCGCGCUUUUCAACCCCCACCCAAUGCCCAACCAUAAACAGCAGCCAAGCAGUGCCGCAGUAGCAGCGGUUGCCGGCAGAGAAAAAAUUCAAUUGUUUAAACUCCCCAUAAACAUUCCCCCACAUCUUUGCAAGCAGUGAAAAUCAAUACUUAAAAUUUAAUAAUUUCUAAUACUACUCUCUUCGCUCCCAGGCAACACUUACCGUUGCUGUGUGAAAGCAGAGUCUACAGAUGGUGUCCAUGACGCUGCUGCUCCUCCGCCUCUUCCAGCUUGACGGGAAAGGUGUGGGCGGGAGCAGGACAACGUGCAAUCACAGAUUUGGUUUUCUCACUCUAGUUCUUGCUGCUUCUGUUGUUGCUUUCGUUGCGCGAAGAAGAGGGACAAGGAAGACGUCAACUAAAGUUACCGGUUCGCAUUUAUUUACUUUACUGUUCUGAUAUUUGUUUUCUUUCAAAACAAAAUUGAUAUUGCUUUUAAAUUUUCCUCUUAAAAACAGUGAGUGAUCGUUGCGAUCCAAGAAAUACAUAAAACUCGAUAUAACAA